UAUUUUUUUUAAUUUUUUAUUUUGGUAUUGCAUAUCAGUAAAGGUUUUUGUCAUAAUUAUGAAUAAUAGAAUUAAAAUGUUAAGAUUAAGUUUGGUUUUUUUUUACGAAAUUAAUGAUAUUUUUUUUUGGUAUUGAUAUAACGUAUUUUUAUUUCUGUUUUUUAUUUUAUUAUAAGUUAAGUUAUAUUUUUUUGUGUUGUUUUUUAAGGUUUUUGUUGUUUUAUGAAUGUUUUGUAUUUUACAUAGAUUUUUAUUUUUUUUUUUUUUUUUUUUUGAUUAAAUUUUUAAUUAAUUUGUAAUUUUUGCUUUAGUAAUUUUUUUCUGUUUUUUGAUUUUUUUGUUUUUGAAUUUUUAUUUUUGAACUGGAUUUGUUGCUAAAUGUUUAUUAAAAACUUAGGUUUUUAUAUAAAAUUGUCUUCUGCUCUAUGAUUUUUAAAUGGCAGCCUUAGCGUGAUGGCAUAAAAGUAGCGUAAGUGAUUUGUUUUUUUAAUGGUUUCAAGUAUGAAUGAAGUUUUUAGCAAUUUUUUUGCUUAUUUUUUAUUUGAAUUAUUUUUUUGAUUAAAAAUUAUUGGUUAAGGUAUUACAAAGAUAAGUCUUCGGAAAUUUUGUUUUGAGUUUUAAAUGUUUUUUAUUUUUGAUAUUUUCUUGGGGAUGGAUUUUAGGAAAAUUUUUUUUUACUAUUUUUAUUUUUAAAAAUUACUCCGGAGUUAACAGGGUUGUAGACAUAUAAAUAGUUUUUUAUAUUAGUGUGCUGCGCUACAUCGAUGUUGUAUAUUUUUUUGGGAAAUGGAGAGAGUUUUUUUGGUUUGAGACUGUUCUUCUUGUAUAAAAAAUUAACUUGAUAUUAGUUUAGUUCGUCGUGAGACAGAGCGGUUUAUCUUGUAUAUUUUUUGUUUGUGACGGUGUUAGUACGAAAGGAAUGCAAUGUGGGUUAAUAUUUAUGACUUUUUUAU
rnacentral:rRNA from 1 species